UGUGCUGUCUAGCCUGAGUGUACACCUAGGACAGUUUACUGAUUAGGGAUAUUAAUAUCAUACAGUACAUACAUCAAAUAUGCAGUACGCUUUCGGAGUACAAGUGUAUGGGGAGGUUUUGUAUCUUGAAUUUUACUCAGUUUUCUCAGAAUCGUAUACUACCAUGACAUAUUGCUCUGUAAAAGAAUGCAUUAGUACCUCAUCGUGUAAAAAUAUAAUCCUGCACACGAUAAAAGAGCAGUGGAUUUCAAUAGUUAAAUGGAAAACAGACUCUCCUAGCCAGAUAUGCAGUCGGCAUUUUGAAAAUAUAUGCUACAGAACUCUCUACUGUAAAAAGUUGUGGAACAAUGCUGUACCCGGCCAUAGAUUUGGCUGUAACUACAGAUUUUCAUGUCCAAGUGAUAAAGACAGACCAUAAUUAUUCCCUGCUUUCUUCUCAAUAAAUUAUUCAACUUCUCCAAGAUAGUGCGGAAAUGGGAAUGAAAUACAGAGAGAAAUGUUACAACCUUCAAAAACGUAGAAAAAACUUGAAAAAACUGUGGAAGAUCUCCAGGAUACACUUAAAACUGCGUGCCAAAAAUAUUCCAUCCGGAGAAUACCAUGGAGCUACUAUAAUGGCUUCUGUUUCUCAAAUUCCUGGCGAGAUUUUUCAGAGAAUUGGGAAAAAAAACGUAAAAUCUAAUACAGAAUCGAACCACCCGGCUCUAAGAACAUUUGCAUUAACCUUACACCUUUACUCGGCGCAUGCCUACAGGUUUGUUCGGAAUUUUUCAGAAGAUUGUUUGCCAAAUGAGAGACUGGAGUGCAAAAGUUGAUGAAUCCCCUGGUUUCUCAAAUUAAGUGUUUUCAUGCUUGAAACAAAAAUUGUACGACAAUUUAUGAAUAAAAGUCUUUUAAAGUAA